rnacentral:rRNA from 1 species
AUUGAACGCUGGCGGCAGGCCUAACACAUGCAAGUCGAGCGGAUGACGGGAGCUUGCUCCUUGAUUCAGCGGCGGUCGGGUGAGUAAUGCCUAGGAAUCUGCCUGGUAGUGGGGGACAACGUUUCGAAAGGAACGCUAAUACCGCAUACGUCCUACGGGAGAAAGCAGGGGACCUUCGGGCCUUGCGCUAUCAGAUGAGCCUAGGUCGGCUUAGCUAGUAGGUGAGGUAAUGGCUCACCUAGGCGACGAUCCGUAACUGGUCUGAGAGGAUGAUCAGUCACACUGGAACUGAGACACGGCCCAGACUCCUACGGGAGGCAGCAGUGGGGAAUAUUGGACAAUGGGCGAAAGCCUGAUCCAGCCAUGCCGCGUGUGUGAAGAAGGUCUUCGGAUUGUAAAGCACUUUAAGUUGGGAGGAAGGGUUGUACGUUAAUACCGUGCAAUUUUGACGUUACCGACAGAAUAAGCACCGGCUAACUCUGUGCCAGCCGCCGCGGUAACAC